GACGAACGCUGGCGGCGUGCUUAACACAUGCAAGUCGAACGGAAAGGCCCUGCUUUUGUGGGGUGCUCGAGUGGCGAACGCGUGAGUAACACGUGAGUAACCUGCCCUUGACUUUGGUAUAACUUCAGGAAACUGGGGCUACUCCCGUAUAGCAGCUCCUGCUGCAUGGUGGGGGUUGGAACGUUUCGGCGGUAGGGGAUGGAUGGGCGGCUUAUCAGCUUGUUGGUGGGGUAGUUGCUUACCAAGGCUUUGACGGGUAGCCGGCAUGAGAGGGUGAACGGGCACAAGGGGACUGAGGGACGGAGCAGAGGGGUACGGGAGGCAGUAGGGGGAAGUAUGAUACAAUGGGAGGAAGUGGGAGGAAGAAGCGUCGCGGGUGGAAUGACCGUUUGUGGGGAGUGAACAGCUGUAGGCUGUGACGAAGCGGGAGUGACGGUAACGGGUAAAGAAGCACCGGCUAACUACGUG
rnacentral:rRNA from 1 species